rnacentral:RNase_P_RNA from 1 species
GGAGCAGCCUGGGUGAUCGCUGGCACCGUGAGGUGCGAGAGGAAAGUCCGAGCUUCACAGGGCAAGGUGCUGGCUAACGGCCAGUCGAGGUGACUCGCAGGAAAGUGCAACAGAAAGCAAACCGCCUGCCUCGUGCAGGUAAGGGUGAAAGGGUGCGGUAAGAGCGCACCGCCUGGCCGGCGACGGUCAGGGCACGGCAAACCCCACCUGAAGCAAGACCAGACAGGGGUCGCGUGGCCCGCGCGAUGACCCCGGGUUGGUUGCUCGAGCCCGCCGGCAACGACGGGCCUAGAUGAAUGAUCGCCACCGGCGCAAGCCGGGACAAAACUCGGCUUACAGGGCCGCUCCGACG